AGAGUUUGAUCCUGGCUCAGGAUGAACGCUGGCGGCGUGCCUAACACAUGCAAGUCGAACGAAGCACUUUAUUUGAUUUCCUUCGGGACUGAUUAUUUUGUGACUGAGUGGCGGACGGGUGAGUAACGCGUGGGUAACCUGCCUUGUACAGGGGGAUAACAGUUGGAAACGGCUGCUAAUACCGCAUAAGCGCACAGCAUCGCAUGAUGCAGUGUGAAAAACUCCGGUGGUAUAAGAUGGACCCGCGUUGGAUUAGCUAGUUGGUGAGGUAACGGCCCACCAAGGCGACGAUCCAUAGCCGACCUGAGAGGGUGACCGGCCACAUUGGGACUGAGACACGGCCCAAACUCCUACGGGAGGCAGCAGUGGGGAAUAUUGCACAAUGGGCGAAAGCCUGAUGCAGCGACGCCGCGUGAGCGAAGAAGUAUUUCGGUAUGCAAAGCUCUAUCAGCAGGGAAGAUAAUGACGGUACCUGACUAAGAAGCACCGGCUAAAUACGUGCCAGCAGCCGCGGUAAUACGUAUGGUGCAAGCGUUAUCCGGAUUUACUGGGUGUAAAGGGAGCGCAGGCGGUGCGGCAAGUCUGAUGUGAAAGCCCGGGGCUCAACCCCGGUACUGCAUUGGAAACUGUCGUACUAGAGUGUCGGAGGGGUAAGCGGAAUUCCUAGUGUAGCGGUGAAAUGCGUAGAUAUUAGGAGGAACACCAGUGGCGAAGGCGGCUUACUGGACGAUAACUGACGCUGAGGCUCGAAAGCGUGGGGAGCAAACAGGAUUAGAUACCCUGGUAGUCCACGCCGUAAAGAAAGAAUACUAGGUGGUUGGAAGCAUUGCUUCUCCGGUGCCGUCGCAAACCCAGCAAAGUUUUCCCCCCGGGGGGGACGUUCGCAAGAAUGAAACUCAAAGGAAUGGCGGGGGACCCCCACAACCGGUGGAGCAUGGGGUUUAUUUGGAAGCACCGCGAGGACCCUUCCCAAUUCUGACAUCCCUUCUGACCGGUACUUAACCGUCCCUUUUCUUCGGAGCAGGAGUGACAGGUGGUGCAUGGUUGUCGUCAGCUCGUGUCGUGAGAUGUUGGGUUAAGUCCCGCAACGAGCGCAACCCUUAUCUUUAGUAGCCAGCGGUCCGGCCGGGCACUCUAGAGAGACUGCCAGGGAUAACCUGGAGGAAGGCGGGGAGGACGUCAAAUCAUCAUGCCCCCUAUGACUUGGGCUACACACGUGCUACAAUGGCGUAAACAAAGGGAAGCAAAGCUGUGAAGCCGAGCAAAUCUCAAAAAUAACGUCUCAGUUCGGACUGUAGUCUGCAACCCGACUACACGAAGCUGGAAUCGCUAGUAAUCGCAGAUCAGAAUGCUGCGGUGAAUACGUUCCCGGGUCUUGCACACACCGCCCGUCA
rnacentral:rRNA from 1 species